AUUGCCUCAGUAACGGCGAGUGAAGCGGCAACAGCUCAAAUUUGAAAUCUGGCCUCCUCCGGGGGUCCGAGUUGUAAUUUGCAGAGGGUGCUUUGGUGGUGGCGGCGGUCUAAGUUCCCUGGAACAGGACAUCGCAGAGGGUGAGAAUCCCGUACGUGGGCGCCUGCCACCUCCGUGUAAAGCCCCUUCGACGAGUCGAGUUGUUUGGGAAUGCAGCUCUAAAUGGGAGGUAAAUUUCUUCUAAAGCUAAAUACCGGCCAGAGACCGAUAGCGCACAAGUAGAGUGAUCGAAAGAUGAAAAGUACUUUGGAAAGAGAGUAAAAUAGCACGUGAAAUUGUUGUAGAGGAAGCGCUUGCAGCCAGACUUCCCCGUAGUUGCUCACCCGGGCUCUUGCCCGGGGCACUCUUCUGCGGGGAGGCCAGCAUCAGUUUGGGCGGUCGGAGAAAGGCCUCUGUCACGUAUCUCCCUCCGGGGAGACCUUAUAGGGGAGGCGUAAUGCGACCAGCCCGGACUGAGGUCCGCGCAUCUGCCAGGAUGCUGGCGUAAUGGCUGUAAGCGGCCCGUCUUGAAACACGGACCAAGGAGUCUAACAUCUAUGCGAGUGUUUGGGUGUCAAGCCCGGGCGCGCAAUGAAAGUGAACGGAGGUGGGAACCCUCGGGUGCACCAUCGACCGAUCCUGAUGUCUUCGGAUGGAUUUGAGUAAGAGCAUAGCUGUUGGGACCCGAAAGAUGGUGAACUAUGCUUGAAUAGGGUGAAGCCAGAGGAAACUCUGGUGGAGGCUCGCAGCGGUUCUGACGUGCAAAUCGAUCGUCAAAUUUGGGCAUAGGGGCGAAAGACUAAUCGAACUAU
rnacentral:rRNA from 1 species